GGAUGUGAGGAGAUCACUCUGUGCUCUCUGUUACCGCGCUAACUGCCAGGACUGACUUGGCUGUCGCAUGUCAAUUGAGAGGCAAGUGUCCCCUUCCUCCCUCACUGCUCCAUGUUUGCCCUUCUUGAAGCUGGGCACUCAGUCCGUCAAAAAUGACAACGUUCCCCUCAAAAGGAGAACUGUUCUUGGGCCAAAGGUAUAUGAGAAGCUGUGCUCCCACACAGAACAUCCAAAGUUUGCAUUUUAAAAACCUGAACCUCUGUCAAGCCUAUUCCUCUAUGAAAUACAGUGUAUUU
rnacentral:snRNA from 1 species